rnacentral:lncRNA from 1 species
CUUCGCCCACGCCCCCCACCAAGGCUAUAGCCCACCCGUUUUUUGGCCAUUUUUCCGCUGGGGGGUCUUGGCGCCCCGACCUUCGUGGGCUGAAUUUUGGGCGCGGGUGUGCCCGUGGCCUAUUUUUUGCACACGGAGGCCUUCCGCAAAGUCUGGGGCCAUUCCGAGUCCCGCGGACGAACUUCGCCCACGCCCCCCACCAAGGCUAUAGCCCACCCGUUUUUUGGCCAUUUUUCCGCUGGGGGGUCUUGGCGCCCCGACCUUCGGGGGCUGAAUUUUGGGCGCGGGUGUGCCCGUGGCCUAUUUUUGGCACACGGAGGCCGCCCGCAAAGUCUGGGGCCAUUCCGAGUCCGGCGGGCGAACUUCGCCCACGCCCCCCACCAAGGCUAUAGCCCACCCGUUUUUUGGCCAUUUUUCCGCUGGGGGGUCUUGGCGCCCCGACCUUCGGGGGCUGAAUUUUGGGCGCGGGUGUGCCCGUGGCCUAUUUUUGGCACACGGAGGCCGCCCGCAAAGUCUGGAGCCAUUCCGAGUCCGGCGGACAAACUUCGCCCACGUCCCCCACCAAGGCUAUAGCCCACCCGUUUUUUGGCCAUUUUUCCGCUGGGGGGUCUUGGCGCCCCGACCUUCGGGGGCUGAAUUUUGGGCGCGGGUGUGCCCGUGGCCUAUUUUUGGCACACGGAGGCCGCCCGCAAAGUCUGGGGCCAUUCCGAGUCCGGCGGACGAACUUCGCCCACGCCCCCCACCAAGGCUAUAGCCCACCCGUUUUUUGGCCAUUUUUCCGCUAGGGGGUCUUGGCGCCCCGACCUUCGGGGGCUGAUUUUUGGGCGCGGGUGUGCCCGUGGCCUAUUUUUGGCACACGGAGGCCGCCCGCAAAGUCUGGGGCCAUUCCGAGUCCGGCGGACGAACUUCGCCCACGCCCCCCACCAAGGCUAUAGCCCACCCGUUUUUUGGCCAUUUUUCCGCUGGGGGGUCUUGGCGCCCCGACCUUCGGGGGCUGAUUUUUGGGCGCGGGUGUGCCCGUGGCCUAUUUUUGGCACACGGAGGCCGCCCGCAAAGUCUGGGGCCAUUCCGAGUCCGGCGGACGAACUUCGCCCACGCCCCCCACCAAGGCUAUAGCCCACCCGUUUUUUGGCCAUUUUUCCGCUGGGGGGUCUUGGCUCCCCGACCUUCGGGGGCUGAUUUUUGGGCGCGGGUGUGCCCGUGGCCUAUUUUUGGCACACGGAGGCCGCCCGCAAAGUCUGGGGCCAUUCCGAGUCCGGCGGACGAACUUCGCCCACGCCCCCCACCAAGGCUAUAGCCCACCCGUUUUUUGGCCAUUUUUCCGCUGGGGGGUCUUGGCGCCCCGACCUUCGGGGGCUGAUUUUUGGGCGCGGGUGUGCCCGUGGCCUAUUUUUGGCACACGGAGGCCGCCCGCAAAGUCUGGGGCCAUUCCGAGUCCGGCGGACGAACUUCGCCCACGCCCCGCACCAAGGCUAUAGCCCACCCGUUUUUUGGCCAUUUUUCCGCUGGGGGGUCUUGGCGCCCCGACCUUCGGGGGCUGAAUUUUGGGCGCGGGUGUGCCCGUGGCCUAUUUUUGGCACACGGAGGCCGCCCGCAAAGUCUGGGGCCAUUCCGAGUCCGGCGGACGAACUUCGCCCACGCCCCCCACCAAGGCUAUAGCCCACCCGUUUUUUGGCCAUUUUUCCGCUGGGGGGUCUUGGCGCCCCGACCUUCGGGGGCUGAUUUUUGGGCGCGGCUGUGCCCGUGGCCUAUUUUUGGCACACGGAGGCCGCCCGCAAAGUCUGGGGCCAUUCCGAGUCCGGCGGACGAACUUCGCCCACCACCCCCACCAAGGCUAUAGCCCACCCGUUUUUUGGCCAUUUAUCCGCUGGGGGGUCUUGGCGCCCCGACCUUCGGGGGCUGAAUUUUGGGCGCGGGUGUGCCCGUGGCCUAUUUUUGGCACACGGAGGCCGCCCGCAAAGUCUGGGGCCAUUCCGAGUCCGGCGGACGAACUUCGCCCACGCCCCCCACCAAGGCUAUAGCCCACCCGUUUUUUGGCCAUUUUUCCGCUGGGGGGUCUUGGCGCCCCGACCUUCGGGGGCUGAUUUUUGGGCGCGGGUGUGCCCGUGGCCUAUUUUUGGCACACGGAGGCCGCCCGCAAAGUCUGGGGCCAUUCCGAGUCCGGCGGACGAACUUCGCCCACGCCCCCCACCAAGGCUAUAGCCCACCCGUUUUUUGGCCAUUUUUCCGCUGGGGGGUCUUGGCUCCCCGACCUUCGGGGGCUGAUUUUUGGGCGCGGGUGUGCCCGUGGCCUAUUUUUGGCACACGGAGGCCGCCCGCAAAGUCUGGGGCCAUUCCGAGUCCGGCGGACGAACUUCGCCCACGCCCCCCACCAAGGCUAUAGCCCACCCGUUUUUUGGCCAUUUUUCCGCUGGGGGGUCUUGGCGCCCCGACCUUCGGGGGCUGAAUUUUGGGCGCGGGUGUGCCCGUGGCCUAUUUUUUGCACACGGAGGCCGCCCGCAAAGUCUGGGGCCAUUCCGAGUCCGGCGGACGAACUUCGCCCACGCCCCCCACCAAGGCUAUAGCCCACCCGUUUUUUGGCCAUUUUUCCGCUGGGGGGUCUUGGCGCCCCGACCUUCGGGGGCUGAAUUUUGGGCGCGGGUGUGCCCGUGGCCUAUUUUUGGCACACGGAGGCCGCCCGCAAAGUCUGGGGCCAUUCCGAGUCCGGCGGACGAACUUCGCCCACGCCCCCCACCAAGGCUAUAGCCCACCCGUUUUUUGGCCAUUUUUCCGCUGGGGGGUCUUGGCGCCCCGACCUUCAGGGGCUGAUUUUUGGGCGCGGGUGUGCCCGUGGCCUAUUUUUGGCAAACGGAGGCCGCCCGCAGAGUCUGGGGCCAUUCCGAGUCCGGCGGACGAGCUUCGCCCACGCCCCCCACCAAGGCUAUAGCCCACCCGUUUUUUGGCCAUUUUUCCGCUGGGGGGUCUUGGCGCCCCGACCUUCGGGGGCUGAUUUUUGGGCGCGGGUGUGCCCGUGGCCUAUUUUUGGCACACGGAGGCCGCCCGCAAAGUCUGGGGCCAUUCCGAGUCCGGCGGACGAACUUCGCCCACGCCCCCCACCAAGGCUAUAGCCCACCCGUUUUUUGGCCAUUUUUCCGCUGGGGGGUCUUGGCGCCCCGACCUUCGGGGGCUGAUUUUUGGGCGCGGGUGUGCCCGUGGCCUAUUUUUGGCAUACGGAGGCCGCCCGCAAAGUCUGGGGCCAUUCCGAGUCCGGCGGACGAACUUCGCCCACGCCCCCCACCAAGGCUAUAGCCCACCCGUUUUUUGGCCAUUUUUCCGCUGGGGGGUCUUGGCUCCCCGACCUUCGGGGGCUGAUUUUUGGGCGCGGGUGUGCCCGUGGCCUAUUUUUGGCACACGGAGGCCGCCCGCAAAGUCUGGGGCCAUUCCGAGUCCGGCGGACGAACUUCGCCCACGCCCCCCACCAAGGCUAUAGCCCACCCGUUUUUUGGCCAUUUUUCCGCUGGGGGGUCUUGGCGCCCCGACCUUCGGGGGCUGAAUUUUGGGCGCGGGUGUGCCCGUGGCCUAUUUUUGGCACACGGAGGCCGCCCGCAAAGUCUGGGGCCAUUCCGAGUCCGGCGGACGAACUUCGCCCACGCCCCCCACCAAGGCUAUAGCCCACCCGUUUUUUGGCCAUUUUUCCGCUGGGGGGACUUGGCUCCCCGACCUUCGGGGGCUGAUUUUUGGGCGCGGGUGUGCCCGUGGCCUAUUUUUGGCACACGGAGGCCGCCCGCAAAGUCUGGGGCCAUUCCGAGUCCGGCGGACGAACUUCGCCCACGCCCCCCACCAAGGCUAUAGCCCACCCGUUUUUUGGCCAUUUUUCCGCUGGGGGGUCUUGGCGCCCCGACCUUCGGGGGCUGAAUUUUGGGCGCGGGUGUGCCCGUGGCCUAUUUUUGGCACACGGAGGCCGCCCGCAAAGUCUGGGGCCAUUCCGAGUCCGGCGGACGAACUUCGCCCACGCCCCCCACCAAGGCUAUAGCCCACCCGUUUUUUGGCCAUUUUUCCGCUGGGGGGUCUUGGCGCCCCGACCUUCGGGGGCUGAAUUUUGGGCGCGGGUGUGCCCGUGGCCUAUUUUUGGCACACGGAGGCCGCCCGCAAAGUCUGGGGCCAUUCCGAGUCCGGCGGACGAACUUCGCCCACGCCCCCCACCAAGGCUAUAGCCCACCCGUUUUUUGGCCAUUUUUCCGCUGGGGGGUCUUGGCGCCCCGACCUUCGGGGGCUGAAUUUUGGGCGCGGGUGUGUCCGUGGCCUAUUUUUGGCACACGGAGGCCGCCCGCAAAGUCUGGGGCCAUUCCGAGUCCGGCGGACGAACUUCGCCCACGCCCCCCACCAAGGCUAUAGCCCACCCGUUUUUUGGCCAUUUUUCCGCUGGGGGGUCUUGGCGCCCCGACCUUCGGGGGCUGAAUUUUGGGCGCGGGUGUGCCCGUGGCCUAUUUUUGGCACACGGAGGCCGCCCGCAAAGUCUGGGGCCAUUCCGAGUCCGGCGGACGAGCUUCGCCCACACCCCCCACCAAGGCUAUAGCCCACCCGUUUUUUGGCCAUUUUUCCGCUGGGGGGUCUUGGCGCCCCGACCUUCGGGGGCUGAAUUUUGGGCGCGGGUGUGCCCGUGGCCUAUUUUUGGCACACGGAGGCCGCCCGCAAAGUCUGGGGCCAUUCCGAGUCCGGCGGACGAACUUCGCCCACGCCCCCCACCAAGGCUAUAGCCCACCCGUUUUUUGGCCAUUUUUCCGCUGGGGGGUCUUGGCGCCCCGACCUUCGGGGGCUGAUUUUUGGGCGCGGGUGUGCCCGUGGCCUAUUUUUGGCACACGGAGGCCGCCCGCAAAGUCUGGGGCCAUUCCGAGUCCGGCGGACGAACUUCGCCCACGCCCCCCACCAAGGCUAUAGCCCACCCGUUUUUUGGCCAUUUUUCCGCUGGGGGGUCUUGGCGCCCCGACCUUCGGGGGCUGAAUUUUGGGCGCGGGUGUGCCCGUGGCCUAUUUUUGGCACACGGAGGCCGCCCGCAAAGUCUGGGGCCAUUCCGAGUCCGGCGGACGAACUUCGCCCACGCCCCCCACCAAGGCUAUAGCCCACCCGUUUUUUGGCCAUUUUUCCGCUGGGGGGUCUUGGCGCCCCGACCUUCGGGGGCUGAAUUUUGGGCGCGGGUGUGCCCGUGGCCUAUUUUUGGCACACGGAGGCCGCCCGCAAAGUCUGGGGCCAUUCCGAGUCCGGCGGACGAACUUCGCCCACGCCCACCACCAAGGCUAUAGCCCACCCGUUUUUUGGCCAUUUUUCCGCUGGGGGGUCUUGGCGCCCCGACCUUCGGGGGCUGAAUUUUGGGCGCGGGUGUGCCCGUGGCCUAUUUUUGGCACACGGAGGCCGCCCGCAAAGUCUGGGGCCAUUCCGAGUCCGGCGGACGAGCUUCGCCCACGCCCCCCACCAAGGCUAUAGCCCACCCGUUUUUUGGCCAUUUUUCCGCUGGGGGGUCUUGGCGCCCCGACCUUCGGGGGCUUAAUUUUGGGCGCGGGUGUGCCCGUGGCCUAUUUUUGGCACACGGAGGGCGCCCGCAAAGUCUGGGGCCAUUCCGAGUCCGGCGGACGAACUUCGCCCACGUCCCCCACCAAGGCUAUAGCCCACCCAUUUUUUGGCCAUUUUUCCGCUGGGGGGUCUUGGCGCCCCGACCUUCGGGGGCUGAUUUUUGGGCGCGGGUGUGCCCGUGGCCUAUUUUUGGCACACGGAGGCCGCCCGCAAAGUCUGGGGCCAUUCCGAGUCCGGCGGACGAACUUCGCCCACGCCCCCCACCAAGGCUAUAGCCCACCCGUUUUUUGGCCAUUUUUCCGCUGGGGGGUCUUGGCGCCCCGACCUUCGGGGGCUGAUUUUUGGGCGCGGGUGUGCCCGUGGCCUAUUUUUGGCACACGGAGGCCGCCCGCAAAGUCUGGGGCCAUUCCGAGUCCGGCGGACGAACUUCGCCCACGCCCCCCACCAAGGCUAUAGCCCACCCGUUUUUUGGCCAUUUUUCCGCUGGGGGGUCUUGGCGCCCCGACCUUCGGGGGCUGAUUUUUGGGCGCGGGUGUGCCCGUGGCCUAUUUUUGGCACACGGAGGCCGCCCGCAAAGUCUGGGGCCAUUCCGAGUCCGGCGGACGAGCUACGCCCACGCCCCCCACCAAGGCUAUAGCCCACCCAUUUUUUGGCCAUUUUUCCGCUGGGGGGUCUUUGCGCCCCGACCUUCGGGGGCUGAAUUUUGGGCGCGGGUGUGCCCGUGGCCUAUUUUUGGCACACGGAGGCCGCCCGCAAAGUCUGGGGCCAUUCCGAGUCCGGCGGACGAACUUCGCCCACGCCCCCCACCAAGGCUAUAGCCCACCCGUUUUUUGGCCAUUUUUCCGCUGGGGGGUCUUGGCGCCCCGACCUUCGGGGGCUGAUUUUUGGGCGCGGGUGUGCCCGUGGCCUAUUUCGGGCACACGGAGGCCGCCCGCAAAGUCGGGGGCCAUUUCGAGUCCGGCGGACGAACUUCGCCCACGCCCCCCACCAAGGCUAUAGCCCACCCGUUUUUUGGCCAUUUUUCCGCUGGGGGGUCUUGGCGCCCCGACCUUCGGGGGCUGAAUUUUGGGCGCGGGUGUGCCCGUGGCCUAUUUUUGGCACACGGAGGCCGCCCGCAAAGUCUGGGGCCAUUCCGAGUCCGGCGGACGAACUUCGCCCACGCCCCCCACCAAGGCUAUAGCCCACCCGUUUUUUGGCCAUUUUUCCGCUGGGGGGUUUUGGCACCACGACCUUCGCGCGCUUAUUUCUGGGCGCGGCUUUGCCCGCGGCUUAUUUUUGGCACCCCGAGGCCCCUCGCAAAGUCUCGCCCCAUUCCGAGUCCGGCGGACGAACUUCGCCCGCGCCCCCCACCAAGGCUAUAGCCCACCCGUUUUUUGGCCAUUUUUCCGCUGGGGGGUUUUGGCACCACGACCUUCGCGCGCUUAUUUCUGGGCGCGGCUUUGCCCGCGGCUUAUUUUUGGCACCCCGAGGCCCCUCGCAAAGUCUCGCCGCAUUCCGAGUCCGGCGGACGAACGUCGCCCGCGCCCCCCACCAAGUCUAUAGCCCACCCGUUUUUUGGCCAUUUUUCCGCUCGGGGGUUUUGGCACCACGACCUUCGGGCGCUUAUUUUUGGGCGCGGCUUUGCCCGCGGCUUAUUUUUGGCACCCCGAGGCCCCUCGCAAAGUCUCGCCCCAUUCCGAGUCCGGCGGACGAACUUCGCCCGCGCCCCCCACCAAGGCUAUAGCCCACCCGUUUUUUGGCCAUUUUUCCGCUGGGGGGUCUUGGCGCCCCGACCUUCGGGGGCUGAUUUUUGGGCGCGGGUGUGCCCGUGGCCUAUUUUUGGCACACGGAGGCCGCCCGCAAAGUCUGGGGCCAUUCCGAGUCCGGCGGACGAACUUCGCCCACGCCCCCCACCAAGGCUAUAGCCCACCCGUUUUUUGGCCAUUUUUCCGCUGGGGGGUCUUGGCGCCCCGACCUUCGGGGGCUGAAUUUUGGGCGCGGGUGUGCCCGUGGCCUAUUUUUGGCACACGGAGGCCGCCCGCAAAGUCUGGGGCCAUUCCGAGUCCGGCGGACGAACUUCGCCCACGCCCCCCACCAAGGCUAUAGCCCACCCGUUUUUUGGCCAUUUUUCCGCUGGGGGGUCUUGGCGCCCCGACCUUCGGGGGCUGAAUUUUGGGCGCGGGUGUGCCCGUGGCCUAUUUUUGGCACACGGAGGCCGCCCGCAAAGUCUGGGGCCAUUCCGAGUCCGGCGGACGAACUUCGCCCACGCCCCCCACCAAGGCUAUAGCCCACCCGUUUUUUGGCCAUUUUUCCGCUGGGGGGUCUUGGCGCCCCGACCUUCGGGGGCUGAAUUUUGGGCGCGGGUGUGCCCGUGGCCUAUUUUUGGCACACGGAGGCCGCCCGCAAAGUCUGGGGCCAUUCCGAGUCCGGCGGACGAACUUCGCCCACGCCCCCCACCAAGGCUAUAGCCCACCCGUUUUUUGGCCAUUUUUCCGCUGGGGGGUCUUGGCGCCCCGACCUUCGGGGGCUGAUUUUUGGGCGCGGGUGUGCCCGUGGCCUAUUUUUGGCACACGGAGGCCGCCCGCAAAGUCUGGGGCCAUUCCGAGUCCGGCGGACGAACUUCGCCCACGCCCCCCACCAAGGCUAUAGCCCACCCGUUUUUUGGCCAUUUUUCCGCUGGGGGGUCUUGGCGCCCCGACCUUCGGGGACUGAUUUUUGGGCGCGGCUGUGCCCGUGGCCUAUUUUUGGCACACGGAGGCCGCCCGCAAAGUCUGGGGCCAUUCCGAGUCCGGCGGACGAACUUCGCCCACGCCCCCCACCAAGGCU